CCGUCAUCUGUUACAGGUAUUUAGAGAUAAAGGGGAAAACAAUAUAAUACGUGAGAGAGAUAACAAAUAUUAAAGGAAACAAUUUCCUGAGAAUCCAAGGUCGUCCAACGUUGGUGGUAGGAGAUGGAAGGCCAGGCGAUUCGCUAAAGACAUAGUACGAACAGGCGCGACCGACUUACUUGGGUUACCAUUAAUUCAAAUAGUGAUUGCCAGGAGAGUUGGUGAUUCUUGACCCUGAUUUGGAUGUAUUGAAUGGAGUUGAUAGGUUGUGGCAAAUAUGAUCGCCCCAAAGGAGUUGUUUCUAA